AGUCUUUGUCCUCGAACUGAACAGCUCUCACUUUACUUUCUAUUCGUUGGUUCAGAAAGCGCAAUCCAUGUAGAAGCGCUAGGGCUUUGGCGUGCAAAGGAGAUGUGGCACGGAUGUCAACGACAAAUCCGUCGAUCAACAAGCCGCUCGAGUCACGAACAAUCCCAGCGAUCGAGCUCUUCUCUUCUCCCUUUGUCCAAGAGCAGUCCACGUUUAGCUUAAAGCCGUUGCUGUCCGGUGCUUUCCAGAUUUCGGGUGGGUCUGACCUACUAGUUUCUUCUGUUCUUUGCUCGAGAUCCAUUUGGAGAAGGCUCGGACCUAAGCGUGGGCAAGAUCUACUAUUGACUCGGUUUUGGGAGGUCGAGAUCUGAAGAUGUAGUCGUUUCAGAGCUUCCAUAUCAACCAGAUCGUGCUUGCCACCAUAUCUACUGAAGGUUAAGGCGCGGGUCAAGCCAUAUUUGCCUUGUCUUUUUGCAUAAGAAGAACAAGUGUUCUGCUGUUUCUAGAUCCCAAAGACAGAGAGGACACAAGGGAUUAGGUAAUAUUCUCCUUUUAUAGAGAUUUUCCUUGGUUGGGAUUGCAUUUUGGCAUAUGCUCCAUAGAAAGAACUUUACUUUAGGGGGAAUUGGAGUAUGCCAUAACCUAAUCCAUAGGGAUCUAGGCGGCUGAUAGGAGGUUGUUGCUCUGUUUGGGUCAGGAUGAUUGGUCACUGAAUAUACCCUGUUAUCGCCACAUUUUACUAUGUAAGAUCCUGAUUUAUUUCCCAUCUAGAUGAUCCUUUCUUGCUGUGAUUGUGCGCCGAUUGGAGCUGAAAGAAUUUCCUGAGCUACUUGUUCAUCAAA